rnacentral:rRNA from 1 species
GAGGGCAAGUCUGGUGCCAGCAGCCGCGGUAAUUCCAGCUCCAAUAGCGUAUAUUAAAGUUGUUGCAGUUAAAAAGCUCGUAGUUGAAUUUCGGGAUUCAUCCGUCGGUCGGGCUUAACUGUCCGUACUGGUGUGAUGGGUUCCUACCUUCUGAAUAACCGGCAUGCCAUUAAUUUGGUGCGCCGGGGAAGCAGGACUGUUACCUUGAAAAAAUUAGAGUGCUUAAAGCAGGCUAUCGCCUGAAUACAUUAGCAUGGAAUAAUGAAAUAGGACGGCAUGGUUCUAUUUUGUUGGUUUCUAGGAUCACCGUAAUGAUUAAUAGGGAUAGUUGGGGGCAUUAGUAUUCAAUUGUCAGAGGUGAAAUUCUUGGAUUUAUUGAAGACUAACUUCUGCGAAAGCAUUUGCCAAGGAUGUUUUCAUUAAUCAAGAACGAAAGUUAGGGGAUCGAAGACGAUCAGAUACCGUCGUAGUCUUAACCAUAAACUAUG